GAUGAACGCUAGCGGCAGGCUCAACACAUGCAAGUCGAGGGGUAACAUUGUGCUUGCACAGAUGACGACCGGCGCACGGGUGCGUAACGCGUAUAGAACCUACCUUUUACAGGGGAAUAGCCUUUAGAAAUGAAGAUUAAUGCCCCAUAGUAUUGAGACUUGGCAUCAGGUUUUAAUUAAAGAUUUAUCGGUAAAAGAUGGCUAUGCGUCCUAUUAGUUAGUUGGUAAGGUAACGGCUUACCAAGACAUCGAUAGGUAGGGGUCCUGAGAGGGAGAUCCCCCACACUGGUACUGAGACACGGACCAGACUCCUACGGGAGGCAGCAGUGAGGAAUAUUGGACAAUGGAGGCGACUCUGAUCCAGCCAUGCCGCGUGUAGGAAGAAUGCCCUAUGGGUUGUAAACUACUUUUAUACAGGAAGAAACACUGGUAUGUAUACCAGCUUGACGGUACUGUAAGAAUAAGGACCGGCUAACUCCGUGCCAGCAGCCGCGGUAAUACGGAGGGUCCAAGCGUUAUCCGGAAUCAUUGGGUUUAAAGGGUCCGCAGGCGGUCGAUUAAGUCAGAGGUGAAAUCCCAUAGCUCAACUAUGGAACUGCCUUUGAUACUGGUUGACUUGAGUCAUAUGGAAGUAAAUAGAAUGUGUAGUGUAGCGGUGAAAUGCAUAGAUAUUACACAGAAUACCGAUUGCGAAGGCAGUCUACUACGUAUGUACUGACGCUGAGGGACGAAAGCGUGGGGAGCGAACAGGAUUAGGUACCCUGGUAGUCCACGCCGUAAACGAUGGAUACUAGUUGUUGGGAUUUAUCUCAGUGACUAAGCGAAAGUGAUAAGUGUCCCACCUGGGGAGUACGGUCG
rnacentral:rRNA from 1 species